rnacentral:rRNA from 1 species
GAUGAACGCUGGCGGCGUGCCUAAUACAUGCAAGUCGAGCGAACGGACGAGAAGCUUGCUUCUCUGAUGUUAGCGGCGGACGGGUGAGUAACACGUGGAUAACCUACCUAUAAGACUGGGAUAACUUCGGGAAACCGUAGCUAAUACCGGAUAAUAUUUUGAGCCGCAUGGUUCAAAAGUGAAAGACGGUCUUGCUGUCACUUAUAGAUGGAUCCGCGCUGCAUUAGCUAGUUGGUAAGGUAACGGCUUACCAAGGCAACGAUGCAUAGCCGACCUGAGAGGGUGAUCGGCCACACUGGAACUGAGACACGGUCCAGACUCCUACGGGAGGCAGCAGUAGGGAAUCUUCCGCAAUGGGCGAAAGCCCGACGGAGCAACGCCGCGUGAGUGAUGAAGGUCUUCGGAUCGUAAAACUCUGUUAUUAGGGAAGAACAUAUGUGUAAGUAACUGUGCACAUCUUGACGGUACCUAAUCAGAAAGCCACGGCUAACUACGUG